rnacentral:lncRNA from 1 species
UUUCCUUCUGUUGAAUGGUGAAGCCACAGUCCCGACCCUGUUGAAGCUGGUCCAUCUCGUCCUUGAGGGAUGGCUGACAACAUGGCCGCUCCUGUAGAGGGUUACCGAGCCCUGUAGGGGUCAUGGGGGUCGGAUCGGUGAUACUGCCGAUCGUCUUGUUAAUAGUGGGAGAAGACAGCAGACAGUGACGCUAGUUAACCUUCCCCAUCCCUUUUUUACUGUGAGGCAGUACACCACAGUGAAAGAGGUAAGGUUGCAUAGUGAAAGAGGUAAGGCUACAGUGACCAGGGUGGUUGGAAC